GACGAACGCUGGCGGCGUGCUUAACACAUGCAAGUCGAACGAAGUGGCGAACGGGUGAGCAACGCGUAAACAACCUGCCCUUCAGAGGGGGACAACAGUUGGAAACGACAGCUAAUACCGCAUACUGAAGGAGGGGACUGCGUCUGAUUAGCUAGUUGGAGGGGUAACGGCCCACCAGGGCGAUGAUCAGUAGCCGGUCUGAGAGGAUGAACGGCCCCCUUGGGACUGAGACACGGCCCAGACUCCUACGGGAGGCAGCAGUGGGGAAUCAUCCGCAAUGGACGAAAGUCUGACGGAGCAACGCCGCGUGAGUGAUGACGGCCUUCGGGUUGUAAAGCUCUGUUAAUCGGGACGCGGUACCGGAAUAGAAAGCCACGGCUAACUACGUGCCAGCAGCCGCGGUAAUUC
rnacentral:rRNA from 1 species